GUCUUUUCUUAUAAAUGUAAUAUAUACUGUAAUAAGUAUAUACAUUUGUGUCCUUAUAUUUAUUUUAAUAUUAAUUGGGGAUCGGAAAUGCCAAGGAUCCUAACAUUUGAGUAUGAUGGAGUAUGAGGGCUGGGUAUCUUCCUAGUAAGUUUCAUAUUUUGGAAGGACAUGGAUUUGAGAUUUAAAUAAUUACCCCAACCCUUGUUUGUGAAACCUGUAAUUCAAUUUAGAAUGCUCUAUUGGGCAUUGCGUACUAGAAUCCAGCCCCCCUUUGGUAUAAAACAAAGAAUAAACAUACAUGGAAUUCUGCACCAGCCAUAGCUCCCUGCAGUCGUUCCCACUCCUAUGUCCGAUGUCACAGCUCCCUCGUGCAGUCCAGUUAAAUGCAUCUCAUGAAGAAGCCUUUUUAUUGGAGCAUUCUCUGUAUUUUCCCAAAAACAGAUAUGCAACACACAACCUUCUUAUCUCUGCUGAUCAGCUGAUUGAGAGCAGGGUGAAAGACUGGUUUUAGACUCGGUUUCAGAGAAAUCUAAACAUUUGCUAGCAAUUCAGAUAGCACAAUGUAUAGAUACUUUUUGACUAUCAUUUAAGAUUAAGUUGUAUUUGCCACGACAUGUAACCUUUAACAGGUUAGUAGUGCGAUUGUAAGCACAUGACAUGCUAGGACCAUCAUCCAUUUUCUGAAGAAGUAUUUCUGUGAUGUUCUGGCAUUUUGUUAGAAUCCAAAACUAAUUUAAAUUUUAACCAAACCGAAAGCAUAGCUAGUUUAGAGAUUGUUUUUCCACUUUGGUUUUUUUGAAUCUUAAAUUUGAAAUUUACUUAGAAUUUUCACUUUUAGUGAAUAAACCGGUGAGCCUUCAAUUUUUCCAUGUACAAUUUUAAUAGGGAUAGGAGUGGGAAGGGGGGGAAUAAGACUUUGACAGAGAUUUUAAUGGUGUCUUUGAAGACCAGAUUUUAUUCAUACAGUCCGCAUAGUGCUUUGUCCUCCUGUCUACAGAGUUACCCUUUAAAGAGUUGGUGAACUGUGGGUUUGCAAUGCCGAACGUCGGCUAGAGAGUCAUGUGAGAGAUUUGCAAAUAGCUUUCCAAAUUUAAAACUGCCUUUUUAACCCGGAGUUUGCAUCAUGGAGUUUUAUUCCCUAGAUUCACGG